UUCAUAGCUCAGUUGGUAGAGCAUGAAAGGUUGUGGGUUCGAGUCCCAAGUUGGGCAAAA
rnacentral:tRNA from 1 species